CCGCCUCAAGGAAAGCCCGCCCCUCCUGUGGCGCGGGCCCGGGAUACCCUUCCGGGCUGGACAGUGCACAGUGCGCGUGCGUCGGCGCCAUGGCCUCAGUUGGGUUGUCCCGGUUACUCGGCUGCGUCCCGGCCGCGGCGUGGAGAGCGGCAAGAUCACCCCUUCUGUGUCAUUCUUUGAGGAAAACGAGUUCUUCUCAAGGAGGAAAGUCUGAACCUGUCAAGCAAUCCCUUAAGAAGCCCAAGUUACCAGAAGAUUCCCAUUUAGAGAAAGAACCACUGACAAAAUUUCCAGAUGAUGUUAAUCCUGUUACCAAAGAAAAAGGUGGACCCAGGGGCCCGGAACCUACCCGCUAUGGAGAUUGGGAACGAAAAGGACGCUGCAUUGAUUUUUAAGCCAUGUAUUCUUUACCUUCACUAUCUGUUUCUGAAUAUGCACAUCUGAAUUAACUGAUUACUUUAUUUUUGUAUAUCCUUUAAGUCAUCUAAUUUCUAUAAUGUGUUUAAAAAUAUAUAUGAUGGCUUUGGAAGAAAAUAUGCUGCUAUAAAUUAGGAAAGGGAAAAUAUACAUUAGCACAUUAAUUUAAAUGUAUUGAGGUAUAUAAGUGAUGAGAAAAGCAAACUUUUCCUUCAUAUUUCAGUUAAAUCAGUUGCUUAUAAAAUGCAAAUGUGAAUAAAAUAAGUUUUUUAUUGAUUGCAUUGCCAUGUGCUAGGUAAUAGUGGCUUUUUAAAUGCGGAUUGAGUGGUGCAUUAUAGUUUGAGGAGACGACAGUAACAUCAGAAAGUCUUUAACUUGGAGCCAGAUGACUUGCGUCCAAAUCCUGGCUGUACUGCUUACUAGCUGUGUUACCUUGGAUAGGUUAUUUAUCUUCUCUGUUCUUCACUAUCUUUAUGUGUAAAUUGGAGAUGAUGCUCAUUCCACCUGAUAGGGCAGUUGAGACGAUUAAAUGAGUAAAUACCUGUGAACCGCUUGGAGCAGUGCAUAGCACAUACUUCUCAGUAAGUGGUAGCUAGCUUUAAACCAUAAAUGUAUUUAUCCAAGUCUCCACACUUCCUGGGGGAAAAGAUUAAGAAACUGAAAUUUGAAAUACUAAAAUUGAAAUUGUCUUAUAUGAAUAUAAUGUUAAAAAUCUUUAGUUGGAAAGUUAGUGAUUAUAUGCAUGAGUGAACUGAGGUGAAAUAGACAUUAGUUUGUGAAACAUGAAAUUCAGGUACAGAGGGCAAAUAGGAGAAAAGCAGCGAUGGAAUGGACCAGCUCAGUCAGUUUUGAUUGACUCAGAAGCUCCUACCGUGUGUCCUUCGGACAACUGGGUCAGAAAAAGUCAAGUCCAGUUGACAGAUGUGGAAUGAAGGAAGGAUGGAAACUACUGGGCUCCCCAAGGCGUCUUUCGCUGUCCUGUGGCCUCAGUCACAAAGACCGAGCCUUCAGCCCCCAGGACACUAAAAUUACUUAGAGAGGGUUUGCAAAGCCCGUAGAAGAAAGAAUGCAGUGGGCUGAUACUAUGUGAUGUGAACUGUAGGUGCAGUAUUAUUUGAGAAGAUUGUACGGAGACUUAUUUAAGAGAAGAAGCUUUUUAAAAAAGUGUAUUUUCCCCAGAUACACACAAAAGAGUAUGGUAAUUGGGACUAGUCAUUCAGUCUUGAUCCCAGUUGUCUCUCAGUCAACAUGUGUUCUUUUAAUUGCAGUUACUGUGUGUGCUGCUAAGUAAUAACCACAUUCCUUUAGAAAUACUCUAUAAUUUAGUCAGCCUUCAAUUGCCCAAAUUAUUGAAGAUUUUUAGUAAGUUAACAGUCCAGAAAUAUUGUGUUAUUUUGUACUGUAUAGCUUUGCUUGUGUUCCACAUUGAUCAUCAUGAUAUGUGAUAAGGACAACUUACAUAUUUCAGAAGCUAACAUAAAAUAUAUAAUAACUGAAGUGUUGUGUUAAGAUAAUAGAAUCUUUAACCUCUGUCAAUAGUAACGUGAUUCAUGACAGCUAUCAAAUAUAUAGGUAAAAGUUGGUGGAAUGAAAACAUACUUGGUCUUAUGUCCAUCAAAACCCUGAAGACUUAGAAAAGAUGAUACGGCAGCAAUGGAACGCGUAACUCAGAUCUGCAGGAAGUAGAGUUGACGGAGACGCAGCUGCUGCCCCGUGGGAUCCACCACCAUGUUCCUGCCGAGGCCACACUUCCCCAGGCUGUUCCUAGCCAAUGAGUGGGUAUGACGGGGCUGCAGUGAAGCAGUCUGAUGGCCCACUCCCCUGCUGGACGACCUUGGCUCAAGGACUCCUCAUUAGCCUGCCCGGAGUUUUCUUAGGACUGUGCUGCUGUCCGAGGCUCUUCCUGCCCAGUCCUCCUCUCCUUCCCUCUCCCUUCACAGGGGUCAGGCUCUGCCUGCUCCUCCCCUCUGGGAUUCACAAAUGUCUCCCCAGUCCUCCUCUCCUUCCCUCUCCCUUCACAGGGGUCAGGCUCUGCCUGCUCCUCCCCUCUGGGAUUCACAAAUGUCUCCCCAGUCCUCCUCUCCUUCCCUCUCCCUUCACAGGGGUCAGGCUCUGCCUGCUCCUCCCCUCUGGGAUUCACAAAUGUCUCCCCAGUCCUCCUCUCCUUCCCUCUCCCUUCACAGGGGUCAGGCUCUGCCUGCUCCUCCCCUCUGGGAUUCACAAAUGUCUCCCCAGUCCUCCUCUCCUUCCCUCUCCCUUCACAGGGGUCAGGCUCUGCCUGCUCCUCCCCUCUGUAGUUCACAGAUGUCUCCCCAGUAAAUCUUUUCUACAUUUAAUCCCAUCUUAGCAUUUGUUUCUCAGAACUGAAACUAAUAUGGAUAGUUUUAAAAAGAACAACUUAUAGAUAAAUUGUCAGAAAAUGUCACACAAAACUUGUGGGUUUUUCUAGUGUAAUCAUAGUUUAAAUAGUUUAAUUUUCCAUUGCUUGGGGAUUUCUGGGAAAUUAUAGGUUGAGCUUUUAUGUACAAGGCUCGCACCAUGGAACCUUGUUCAUAUUAGGCAUUUUGCUGGAAUUGAAUUAUGCUCAGCAUUUUUUCCUUGCUUUGGUGUCAGUUGCUAUGACCUACCAUGAGUCAAAAUAUAACAUUACAUAUUAUUAAACUUGUAAGAACAAACCUAAGCCACGUUCUGCUAGUAAAUAACACAUGUUCUUUCGAUGAAUAGAAUGGUUUAUAAUGAACAGACUUGGUAAUAGUAAUAAUUAAUGAUAUAUCAGCAAUUUUAAAGAUAAUUUCAGAACAGAACAGUAGUUUUUAUAAGUAUAGGAUAAGAAUGGCUGCAGGCUGUUAGUCAGCCAACACUUAUUGAUCAGUUAGAAGGAAAGUAAAAUGAAGAGCGCCUGGCAGGUUUGUUCAUGCAUUCAGUUGAUUCUUUCAUUUAAUCAGUGAUUAUUUGUCUGCUACGUGCCAGGUGUUCUGCUAGGCUUUGGGUGUUUGGUGUUGGAUUAAAGCAAACCCUUGCCAUCCUGGCAUAAAGUCUGGUGGGUUUGAUUUGCACGUGAGAACAGUUCCAAAGGACAGCCGACUGAAGCCUAAAUGCAUUGCAAGGGACUGUCCUUUGCCUCAACCAACCAAAGGGGCCUUCCUAAGUUUGAUGAGACUGUCACUUUCUGGGUUUUUGAUACUAGAGGACUCUUCAGAGACCUGUGUUUUCACCUUUUUAAAUCUAAACUGACCUUGUGUGGGCCAGGCCCAGUGGCCUAGUGGUUAAGGUCAGUGUCCUCCACUUUGGUGGCCCAGGUUCAGUUCCCAGGUGUGGACCUACACCACUCACCUAUCAGUGACCAUGCUGUGGUGGCGAGCCACAUACGAAAUAGAGGAAGACUGGCAACAGGUGGUAGCUCAGGGUGAAUCUUUCUCAGCAGAAAAUAAACUGACUCUGAGAUAUUUAUUAAUCAAGUUAAAUACUCAUUCUGUGAUCAUACGUGUUCUGACCUUGCCAUAGAUCAGCCUCCCUAGACAUUGACUAAGAAGAUGUGGAGUAAGCAGAGUGAUAUAAUUAAGGUUGCUCAAGCCAUUCCUGGCCCGAGAAGAACAUUUUUGGUGCAUCCCUCUGCACGAACACUGGAGCUAAAGCUGCCCCUGAUUUGCCUGAG
ensembl:lncRNA